GAUGAACGCUGGCGGCGUGCCUAAUACAUGCAAGUCGAGCGAACAGACGAGGAGCUUGCUCCUCUGACGUUAGCGGCGGACGGGUGAGUAACACGUGGAUAACCUACCUAUAAGACUGGGAUAACUUCGGGAAACCGGAGCUAAUACCGGAUAAUAUAUUGAACCGCAUGGUUCAAUAGUGAAAGACGGUUUUGCUGUCACUUAUAGAUGGAUCCGCGCCGCAUUAGCUAGUUGGUAAGGUAACGGCUUACCAAGGCAACGAUGCGUAGCCGACCUGAGAGGGUGAUCGGCCACACUGGAACUGAGACACGGUCCAGACUCCUACGGGAGGCAGCAGUAGGGAAUCUGCCGCAAUGGGCGAAAGCCUGACGGAGCAACGCCGCGUGAGUGAUGAAGGUCUUCGGAUCGUAAAACUCUGUUAUUAGGGAAGAACAAAUGUGUAAGUAACUAUGCACGGCUUGACGGUACCUAAUCAGAAAGCCACGGCUAACUACGUG
rnacentral:rRNA from 1 species